rnacentral:rRNA from 1 species
UACAGACGUCCCAAGCGUUGUUCGGAUUCAUUGGGCGUAAAGGGUGUGUAGGUGGCGCCGUAAGUCGGGUGUGAAAUUUCGGAGCUUAACUCCGAAACUGCAUUCGAUACUGCGGUGCUUGAGGACUGGAGAGGAGACUGGAAUUCAUGGUGUAGCAGUGAAAUGCGUAGAGAUCAUGAGGAAGACCAGUGGCGAAGGCGGGUCUCUGGACAGUUCCUGACACUGAGACACGAAGGCCAGGGGAGCAAACGGG